rnacentral:lncRNA from 1 species
UUUGUCCUUUAUUUACUGGCUUAAUUUGAAGAAAGACUGUACUAGUAUGACGCUUUGUCUUGUUCUUGAAAUACUGGUUUAUUUUGAAGAAAGACUGUACUAGUAUGACGCUUUGUCUUGUUCUUGAUUUACUGGUUUAUUUUACGGUUGAGUGGCUUGUUUUGUAGUUAGUAAGUACUGGAAUGACGCUAUCUAUGCCUUAUAAUUGUUUGACUGGUUUCUUUUGUGGAUGGGCAGUGACGUUUUGUAUUGUUAUUGGUUGACUGGUUUGUUUUGUAGAUAAACAGUACUGGAGUGACACUUUAUUUAUUGGUUCACUAGAAAUACUUGAGAGACGCUUUGCCUCGUUCAUUUGCUUACUGGCUUAUAUUUUAGAUAGAAAGUACUGGAGUACUAAACUGUGGAUACCUCACAUAUAAAACAAAGAUGAAAAGUACCUCGUUACGGGGUAUCAGUUACAGGUGAAACAACAGUCAGAUACAUGUUAGUUGCAGCUACAUAUCACGACUGCUUAACGAAAGAACACUAACUCCUACAGGUCCACUCUAUCCUCCAGACGCAUGCUCCGUGUGAUUUCUCCUCUGAGCAGCAUUAAUAUCUUAAUACUGUCGUAAUAUCCAUCAAGUGAUACGGAGGUCAUAACAAGUCAUCUCUGGAGAAACACGUGCAGUACUCAAGACAAUACGUCAUAAAUCCUGUUACGCUUUGGCUAAUGAAAUACUGAUGUCAACACAAUUUUACAAACAUCAAACUUCAAAUGUGACAUCAUCCAACAUCUACGUCCAAUGAGAUAUUCAGUAGGGUACCAACAUCUACUGAGAUACACUAUAAGGCGCCAACAUCUAUUGAGAUACGCUGUAAGGCACCAACAUCUACUGAGACACGCAGUAAGGCACCAACAACUACUAAAAUAUGCUGUAAGGCAUCAACAUCUACUGAGAUACGCAGUAAGGCACCAACAUCUACUGAGAUACUCAGUAAGGCACCAACAUCUACUGAGAUACGCUGUAAGGCAUCAACAUCUACUGAGAUACGCUGUAAGGCACCAACAUCUACUGAGAUAUGCAGUAAGGCACCAACAUCUACUGAGAUACUCAGUAAGGCACCAACAUCUACAGAGAUACGCAGUAAGGCACCAACAUCUACUGAGAUACGCAGUAAGGCACCAACAUCUACUGAGACACGCAGUAAGGCACCAACAUCUACUGAGAUAUGCAGUAA